CUCUGAAGGAAACAAUGGUAGCACUAUACAUGCAAUUUUAAAAUUUUAUGAAAUAAAACUAUAAAAUUAAAUAAUUUAAUUUAAAUUACAUGCAUAGGACCUAAUCUAGACUACCAUGUCAAGACUUAUAAUAUGAUUUAACAUGCAUAUGAGAUCUAAAAAAAAAACUUACAUCGAUCUAAUCAAUGCUGCCAUGUAAAUCUAACCGU
rnacentral:lncRNA from 1 species